UAUAAUGGGUUAUGUAUAAAUAACCUUCUUUCUCUGUGUAAAAGAGUGGUUUACAUUAUAU
rnacentral:tRNA from 1 species